AGAACGAACGCUGGCGGCAUGCCUAACACAUGCAAGUCGAACGAGACCUUCGGGUCUAGUGGCGCACGGGUGCGUAACGCGUGGGAAUCUGCCCUUAGGUACGGAAUAACAGUGAGAAAUUACUGCUAAUACCGUAUGAUGUCUUCGGACCAAAGAUUUAUCGCCUAGGGAUGAGCCCGCGUAGGAUUAGCUAGUUGGUGGGGUAAAGGCCUACCAAGGCGACGAUCCUUAGCUGGUCUGAGAGGAUGAUCAGCCACACUGGGACUGAGACACGGCCCAGACUCCUACGGGAGGCAGCAGUGGGGAAUAUUGGACAAUGGGCGAAAGCCUGAUCCAGCAAUGCCGCGUGAGUGAAGAAGGCCUUCGGGUUGUAAAGCUCUUUUACCCGGGAAGAUAAUGACUGUACCGGGAGAAUAAGCCCGGCUAACUCCGUGCCAGCAGCCGC
rnacentral:rRNA from 1 species